rnacentral:tRNA from 1 species
GCGGACCAUGAAUAGUCCCCAUUAUA